UUGAAAUGGACAUGCACCUCCAGGCUUGAACAAUUCUAAUUAGUAUUCGUCACAAGCAAUGCUGUGUCUUUGGAUUUCUAAGGCAACUCUCCUUAAUAAGAGCAAAUGAUCUUGUGUAAUAACAAACCUGACAGAUCUUCAUAAUUGAUCACUAUUCCUCACAGAUCAAGGGCACAGGAUGCAAAAGGAAUGAAGGCAAGGCAAUAUAGUAGUGGACAUCAGACGUACACGCCGUACUGCCUGUCAGCAAUACUCCAUGGAGCCUGCUGUUUCCAGAGAGAACUGCGUGAAGGUGAAUAAAUGGACAAGUGAAGCAGUAUAUGGAAAAUGGAAAAUGUGCCUACUCAUGGCAUGAACUACAUCAAGAGAGAAAAAUUCAGGGAGAAAAGCCACUAGUGUUAAUUUACAUUUUGUAAUGAAUUUGGUACCACUGUGUCUGCCCUCUUUUGUGUUCACUUCCUUCUAAUUCUCUAAUAAACUGAGCUGUGGACAGGAAUCCCUGGGAAAGAACGGCAUGCCAGUCAUUACAGCAGGAUAUUCAUGGAGGGUGAAAUUCAUUCUUCUAGAAAGAGGCAGGACAAAGACACUUUGCAUAC